UUAACCUUGAUAUAAAUGGUAGCUGAAUGUCUUUUCACCACACCCAGUUCCAGGCAGGACUGUAGCUGCAUUCCUAAAGUAAAUAAGGAGCAUAAGCUGGGGUCAAAUUCUGGCCUUACUGAAGCAAAAGCAAAAUCUCUAUUGGCUUCAAUGGCAUCAGGAUUUCACUGGUUUGCACUGGGAUCAAGAAGACGUGAAGCACUGAACAGUUUUCCCUGCAGGCACCACUGAAGGUUUCAGCAUGGCUUUGUAUUCUGAUGGGGAUUUUCCCAGUAUGCUUUUCUCGUUGGUGCCUUUUAAAUCUGGAAGCCAGCAAGGUGAUUGCCUUGUGUGAUUGCUAUAGAUUGGGCUACUUCU
rnacentral:lncRNA from 1 species